rnacentral:rRNA from 1 species
AUUGAACGCUGGCGGCAGGCUUAACACAUGCAAGUCGAGCGGAGAGAGGUAGCUUGCUACUGAUCUUAGCGGCGGACGGGUGAGUAAUGCUUAGGAAUCUGCCUAUUAGUGGGGGACAACAUUUCGAAAGGAAUGCUAAUACCGCAUACGUCCUACGGGAGAAAGCAGGGGAUCUUCGGACCUUGCGCUAAUAGAUGAGCCUAAGUCGGAUUAGCUAGUUGCUGGGGUAAAGGCCUACCAAGGCGACGAUCUGUAGCGGGUCUGAGAGGAUGAUCCGCCACACUGGGACUGAGACACGGCCCAGACUCCUACGGGAGGCAGCAGUGGGGAAUAUUGGACAAUGGGCGCAAGCCUGAUCCAGUCAUGCCGCGUGUGUGAAGAAGGCCUUAUGGUUGUAAAGCACUUUAAGCGAGGAGGAGGCUACUUUAGUUAAUACCUAGAGAUAGUGGACGUUACUCGCAGAAUAAGCACCGGCUAACUCUGUGCCAGCAGCCGCAGUAACAC